rnacentral:rRNA from 1 species
AGAACGAACGCUGGCGGCAUGCCUAAUACAUGCAAGUCGAACGAACUCUUCGGAGUUAGUGGCGCACGGGUGCGUAACGCGUGGGAAUCUGCCCUUGGGUUCGGAAUAACAGUUGGAAACGACUGCUAAUACCGGAUGAUGACGAAAGUCCAAAGAUUUAUCGCCCAGGGAUGAGCCCGCGUAGGAUUAGCUAGUUGGUGAGGUAAAGGCUCACCAAGGCGACGAUCCUUAGCUGGUCUGAGAGGAUGAUCAGCCACACUGGGACUGAGACACGGCCCAGACUCCUAACGGGAGCAGCAGUAGGGAAUAUU